rnacentral:rRNA from 1 species
AUGUUCGUGCAAGUCGAAUCCUACCAAAAUUAUAAUUUAGCUGAAAUUAAUAGGAGAACCAUCUUUAUCUCUCAAUGUAGUAGUAUAUUGUUAAUGAAAUUAUUUUAAGCUUAUAGUGUAAAGUACUGUAAAGGACUAUUGAAAGAUUAAAAAAUUAAAAAAAAGAAGAUAUUAAAAAUCGUACCUUGUGUAUCAGGGUUUAGUAAAAUUCUAUUGAAAUAAAUAAAUCCCGAAAUUAGGCGAGUAAUGUUUUUAGUUUACUAGAUGUGGCAUAAUUUUUAAAAAUAAAGACAUGGGGUUAAAAGCCAUUCGAGCCUUUUUAUCUGGUUUCAUGAAAAAUGAAUUUAAUUCAAUUAAUUUUAGUUUAAUUUUUGGUAAUUAAUUUACUUAAUUAAAAUUAGUAAAAUUUUAGAGGGAUGAGCUUCUAUAAUAACUGUGGUACAAUAGAAAAAUGUAGUGGAAUGAUUUCAGGUUUAAUAAUGGCCUUAAAUAAAAAGUUUGUUACAAUUUACAUUUUUAAAGUCAAUAUUUUUCAUUUUAUUUACUAUAAUAUCAUGAUAUUAAGAUUAACCUUCAAUUUUAAGUAAUAAUGCUAAAAUAAGUAGAAUCGUAGUGUUUAGUGGUAUUUUGAAACAAUUUUAAAUUAUAUAAAAUUCAAGAUAUUUUAAAGGAACUCGGCAAAUAAAUUUUCCGCAUGUUUAUCAAAAACAUCUCCUUUUGACAUAUUUAAGGUACCGUCUGCUCAAUGCAAUUUGUAAAUAGCCGCAGUAUUCUGACUGUGCUAAGGUAGCAUAAUCAUUAGUCUUUUAAUUGGAGGCUGGUAUGAAUGACGAGACGAGAAAAUGACUGUCUCUAUAAUAAACUUUGAAUUUCAUUUCUGAGUGAAAAAGCUCAGAUAAUUUUGAAGGACGAUCAGACCCUUUGGAGCUUUAUUUACUUCAAAAAUUUGAAUUUGUUUUAAUUGAUUGAAUGGAAAGUAAAUUUUGUUGGGGCGACAGGGAGUAAAAUAUAACACUCUUUUUUUAAAACAAUCCUAAUUGGAAAAUUGAUCCUUAAAGUGAGAUUAUAAGACUAAGUUACCCUAGGGAUAACAGCGUAAUCUUUUUGGAGAGUUCAAAUCGAUAAAAAGGUUUGCGACCUCGAUGUUGGAUUAAGAGAUUGGCAAGGUGCAGAAGUUUUGCUGGAAAGUCUGUUCGACUUUUAAUCUCUUACAUGAUCUGAGUUCAAACCGGCGUAAGCCAGGUUGGUUUCUAUCCUCAAAAUUAUGGUAAUUUCUUUAGUACGAAAGGAUUAGGAAAUUGAGAUAGAUAAUCUCUUAACUUAGAAAAAAAUUAAAUUGGUAAUAGAAGUAUUAGCCUGGCAGAAAAUGUUUU